rnacentral:lncRNA from 7 species
AGAAAGCAACCAUCACAAAUCUUCAGCAAGAAUCAUGGAGGAAUGGUGCAGGAAAAGCUAUCCUGAAGAUGUUACUUCCUAGGCAUACAAGAGAUGGGGCUAUUCACACCACAGCAAAUGGGAAGGGGAAGAAAACGUGGAGAGAUUUAGUCCAGUUCUGUUGGCAUCAAGUGGACAUGUUUAUUACAGCUGGCAGAGAGCCACUUCAUCAACUGAUUCAUAGAUACCAAAUGUUGAUACAAUACCUUUAAGAGAAAUGUUGACUGUUUUCCACGGGCAGUUUUCUGCAGUCUCGGAGAAGCUCUACUCAACAUUUCUUUUGAGAUUCGAAGGAAUUUGAUGAACAUUUUGCUGUUGCCCAUUUCUGACUUCUGAUUUCAGCAGGGACUGGAGGAGCACUUGAUGAGUAUGGCUUUUUUGUUAUUUACAGCCUUGUCAAAACGAUGAAGUAGCAGGAAUCUCCUUGGAGAGCAAUGUAUCACAACAUUUUUCAAGACAGUUUCCAAAUCGAAGAUGACUUCCAAGGAACAGCAAGGAUGUAAUCUUGGAGCCAAUCAAACCAGUGGCAAAAAUCCCACUUUCUGCAUGAUCUUCUUAAUGCAGCCUCUGACAUUUUGGAGCUUCAUAUAUUAUGGUUAAAAGCUCUUAUCCUAUCAGCUGAAGUGAAUCAAGGUGGGAGGAGGUGAAGCAAUUGGAACAGGCAGUUUUUAAGGCUGCGCUGAGUAUAAGGGGAGUUAAGUGGAGAUAUGCCCCAAACAGAACCAGUGGACCUGGUGUCACACCUAACAGUUGUGUGAAGCAGCGCCCUAUCCCCUGGUAUUGCCAGGAGGAGCCGUGGAAGGAGGAAAUUCAAAGAGGAGCUCAACCACCCUUCUGGAGGCCAGAAAACCCACUAUUGUCACGACGCAGUUUCACUGAUGAUUGCUAGAGUGGUGGAGUUCUAUUUUGCUCCUGCUGCUUUUCCAGGCCCUGUUGUCCUUGACCACCCUUGGUAACAUUUCUGCUAUUGCUCCUGCAUCAGCUCAUCUCUUUUGUUUCUCAGUGAGCAAAAAAGUGCACAACAUUGAAGCUGAACGCUCAUCUGUGCCUGGUGCACUGUCCCUGUCUGAUUUGCUCCCUACGACUGCAUUUCCCUUUUCAUGGCUACAGCAUAGUUGUGGCUCAAAGUCACCCUGUGAUUAGAGUACAUCGAAGUCUUCUUCCUCCCCAAGCAGCUUUAAGUGCAUGGCUCAUACCAAAUGUUUUCUUAGUAACAAUACCCAGCUCUGCGGUGAUCUGCAUGAGCUAUGGGUCUGGGCCCCUUCUCCAGAAGAGUCAGACUUUGCCAGCUGACACCAGCUGCAGAACCAGUUCUCAGUAUUCAGUGCACUUGGGGAGAAAGAAACAAGUAGUAAACCAAAGACAAACAGAGCUACAGUCAAACGUAUUAUAACACUACCAACCAAGACAGCUGCUUCUGCCAACAUGGAAACAAGAUAGGAACUAGAGUGUUUCUAUUUUUGCAUUCAAAUAGAAACAGAUGGAGAGGACUUGGGGAAUUUAUCAAACCAAAUAAAUAUUUUUCAUUUUAAAAUUUGAAUGGAAUGGAAAUUAUAAUCUGCCACUGUUACCAUGGAGCUGAAUAUUGUCCUUCCCCUCACCCGGCCUUUAGCAGUAAGGAGUUGGUUGCGGCAGGGCUGGAGUUUUGCAGUUUUCUUCCUCACCCAACCCAGCUCUCUCCUUUGAAUUACACUGCCUGGUUACCGACUGCAGAAAGAAGAGUCAGGUUUUGCAAUAUUUUUUUUAUGGAUUGCUAGCUGAAAAAUGAGAACAAAAUGAACUUCUGGAUAGCAGGCACCACUGUUUUUCACUAUUCUUACCUAAGUUAAAGCAGUGAACCUCCACUUCCAAACUGAGAGGAGCCAAAGUGCCCAACUUAAGACCUUCCUGUGUGCCAGCUCCAAGCCAGUGGGAUGACUGGGAGGCUGGAGCCACACCAAAGCUGGGGAUUUUGAGCCAGAUUGCUGCCACCACCUUCUUACCUCAGACCAAGAGCACCUGAGGCUGCCUAAAACCUGCUAGAAACAGCCCAGUGAGGUGGAGCACUUUCUUGCAAUGACUUACAGAAUGUCACAGCCAAAUCCAAAAAGUGUUUUAAAAGUGAGGAUGCAGUACAAAUGGAACAAACUUGGUCAUUAACUCUGGAUAUUCCACUGCCUCAAGAGUAGAACCUCUCUGCUUGGUCAAAUAGGUAAUAAAAUAGAUUAACAGAUAAUCUAAGAGGCUCUCCAUUGCCUUUUUUUUUUUUUUUUAACUGUUUCCAGUAAACAGCCCCAUGCCUGUAAUUAUUUUAGAACAGGAAAAUAUUUAGUGACCCAGGUACUGAAAGGGCUGCCAUUAACCCUGCGAUAGACUUUUGCAUCCGCAUGAAAUGCCCCUGAAAACAAAUGGAUUAGACUAAUUGCAUUCAUUCAGAUUAGCAAACAGCCCGAUAAGCCAGGACCGUGGUCCAUAAUGGCACAAUGCCCUUGGAGACUCCUUUCCUAGGACUGUAUCAGCAGUGCUACACACUGCAGGCAUCACACAAGUGUGCUGCUGCCAUUAAACUCCUGUUCUUUAAGAGCUUAAGAGGCCGAUUCAAACAUUUUUUCCUUCCUUGAACUGUAUUUAAAUCAAGUCACUUCUCUACAUUUUUCACCCGAAUAAAGAGCAUUUUUCUGUUAUGUUAAGGUUUGUAGGUGACAUCCUUUAAUGUUACUAUUAUUGUAAUUAUUUAAAAAACACAACAAUAAAACAGUAAGU